rnacentral:rRNA from 1 species
UGCAGAGGUCCCAAGCGUUGUUCGGAUUCACUGGGCGUAAAGGGUGCGUAGGUGGCCAGGUAAGUUUGGUGUGAAAGCUCGGAGCUUAACUCCGAAAUGUCAUUGAAUACUAUCUGGCUGGAGGGUCGGAGGGGAGACUGGAAUUCUCGGUGUAGCAGUGAAAUGCGUAGAUAUCGGAAGGAACACCAGUGGCGAAAGCGGCUUCCUGGUCCAGCAUCGACGUUCAGGCACGAAAGCGUGGGAGCAAACAGG